rnacentral:rRNA from 1 species
AUUGAACGCUGGCGGCAGGCCUAACACAUGCAAGUCGAGCGGAUGAAGGUAGCUUGCUACCUGAUUCAGCGGCGGACGGGUGAGUAAUGCCUAGGAAUCUGCCUGGUAGUGGGGGACAACGUUUCGAAAGGAACGCUAAUACCGCAUACGUCCUACGGGAGAAAGUGGGGGAUCUUCGGACCUCACGCUAUCAGAUGAGCCUAGGUACGAUUAGGUAGUUGGUGAGGUAAAGGCUCACCAAGGCGACGAUCGUUAACUGGUCUGAGAGGAUGAUCAGUCACACUGGAACUGAGACACGGUCCAGACUCCUACGGGAGGCAGGAGUGGGGGAUAUUGGACAAUGGGCGAAAGCCUGAUCCAGCCAUGCCGCGUGUGUGAAGAAGGUCUUCGGAUUGUAAAGCACUUUAAGUUGGGAGGAAGGGCAGUAAGUUAAUACCUUGCUGUUUUGACGUUACCGACAGAAUAAGCACCGGCUAACUUCGUGCCAGCAGCCGCCGUAA